GGAGCAUGUAUCCACAAAUAACAGGGUGAGUGGAUCCUUUGUUCAAAAGUUACCUUUACACAGAGGCAUUUAUCAAGUUUAAUUAACGCGUCAGGGACUCCAGUGUGAGGGAUGGCUCCAAACACAGCCCUGAUGGUGCUAAUUUUUCUACAUUAAUGCCAACACGGCAUCCAGCUACAAGCAGGAAAUAGACUAUCAGUGGUAACACCACCACGGAAGAAAAUAGUGACUUCCCUCCCUAAAUCAAAUUAAACAGGCUCCUUAUCUGAAGGUCACUUAGUGACAGAAGGAUCUAGAACCAGCCUACAGUCCCAGGUGGAAGGUAAACUGAGUGCCAUCUUGGAUCCAGCUCUACCCUGUGGGUCACUGGGUAUGUACCCAUAUCGCUUGGGCCUAAGUUUGCAG
rnacentral:lncRNA from 1 species